AGCCUUCAGAGAGCAUGGAGGUCCUGGGGCUGCUCCUCUGCCUGGUGGCAGCUCCCUGCUGUGUCCUGUCCCAGGUGCAACUUCAGGAGUCAGGACCUGGCCUAGUGAAGCCCUCAGAAACCUUGUCCAUCACCUGCACUGUCUCUGGAUUCUCUUUAAGCAGUUAUGGUGUUUACUGGGUCCGCCAGCCUCCAGGAAAUGGCCUGGAAUGGAUGGGUGUCAUAUGGGCUAGUGGAAGCACGCAGUAUAACUCAGGACUUCAAUCCCGACUCAGCAUCAGUAAGGACACUUCCAAGAACCAGGUUAUAUUAGCACUGAGCAGCCUGAGAACUGAGGACACAGCCGUGUAUUAUUGUGCAAGAGACACAGUGGUGGGACUUCAAUGUGAGCCCAGACACAAACCUCCCUGCAAUGCAGUCAGGAACAACAGGGGGCGCUAG